GUGUCAGCCGCCGCGGUAAUACGUAUGGGGCAAGCGUUGUUCGGAGUUAUUGGGCGUAAAGGGCGUGUAGGCGGCUCAUCAAGUCUGGUGUGAAAUUGCAGGGCCCAACCCUGCAGGUGCGCUGGAAACUGGUGGGCUAGAGUUCUUGAGGGGAAGCUGGAAUUCCAGGUGUAGGGGUGAAAUCUGUAGAUAUCUGGAAGAACACCGGUGGCGAAGGCGAGCUUCUAUCAGAGGACUGACGCUGAGGCGCGAAAGCGUGGGGAGCAAACAGGAUUAGAUACCCUGGUAGUCCACGCUGUAAACGAUGUGCACUAGGCGUGGGGCACGUACGUGCUCUGUGCCGUAGCUAACGCGAUAAGUGCACCGCCUGGGGAGUAUGCUCGCAAGGGUGAAACUCAAAUGAAUUGACGGGG
rnacentral:rRNA from 1 species